rnacentral:rRNA from 1 species
UACGUAGGGUGCAAGCGUUGUCCGGAAUUAUUGGGCGUAAAGGGCUCGUAGGCGGUCUGUCACGUCGGGAGUGAAAACUCAGGGCUUAACCCUGAGCCUGCUUCCGAUACGGGCAGACUAGAGUGCGGUAGGGGAGACUGGAAUUCCUGGUGUAGCGGUGAAAUGCGCAGAUAUCAGGAGGAACACCGGUGGCGAAGGCGGGUCUCUGGGCCGUAACUGACGCUGAGGAGCGAAAGCAUGGGGAGCGAACAGG